CAGGACGAACGCUGGCGGCGUGCCUAAUACAUGCAAGUCGAACGGUCUUUCUAUGGAAGCUUGCUUCCACUGAGAAGAUAGUGGCGAACGGGUGAGUAACACGUGGGUAACCUGCCCAUAAGAGGGGGGAUAACAUCCGGAAACGGGUGCUAAUACCGCAUAGUUUUUCUUGAUCGCAUGAUUGAGAAAGGAAAGACGGCCUUUGUGCUGUCGCUUAUGGAUGGACCCGCGGCGUAUUAGUUAGUUGGUGAGGUAACGGCUCACCAAGACGAUGAUACGUAGCCGACCUGAGAGGGUGAUCGGCCACAUUGGGACUGAGACACGGCCCAAACUCCUACGGGAGGCAGCAGUAGGGAAUCUUCCGCAAUGGACGAAAGUCUGACGGAGCAACGCCGCGUGAGUGAAGAAAGGUUUUCGGAUCGUAAAACUCUGUUGUCAGAGAAGAACAAGUUGGAGAGUAACUGCUCCAGCCUUGACGGUAUCUGACCAGAAAGCCACGGCUAACUACGUGCCAGCAGCCGC
rnacentral:rRNA from 1 species